CGUCAAGAGACGUCAUUACGUGUAAAAUGUUGCUGAUCCACAUUUAUUGGUGGUGGUAUCCUUAAAUUAGCAGCCCAAAAUCCCUGAAACUCCUUUCACUGCCAUCAUCAUGACAUCACCAAGACAAGCUUCAUAAAGCAAAAAUCAACUCUUGCAGACCCUGUUUUCUGACGGCACACCCAAAACCUUUCUGGCUCCUCUACUUCCUCUGUGUUGGUGGCCUAACAGGUUACUAACUACACACCUUCAAAAAUAUAAAGCUACACCUGCGUGGCACUUGAGGGCAAAAAACCACCAGCAGACAUGAUGUAUGUCACGGAUACAACACUGACCUGAGACUCAAUAUCUUCAAUAACAUUUUGAUUAAUCAAAUUAUUUACUGCAUUUUAUGUAAAUGCAAAUGCAAAUGCACGUGUAAUCAGUAUUGUAAUUAUUUCUAUUCGCUUGUUCUUUCAGGAAAAUCCAGCACACGUCGCAAAAAAUGACUUUCUUACUUAGUAUUUUUGUCUUGUUUUGAAUACAAAUAUCUAAAAAUUCUUAAAUCAAGAUGCUUUUUCUUGAUGAGCAAAAUGAAAAAAAGUUUACACUGCAAAAAAUUAUUUUCAAGAAAACAUUUUCUUAGUAUUUUUGACUUGUUUUUAGUAAAAAUAUCAAAAAUUCUUAAAUUAAGAUGCUUUUUCUUGAUGAGCAAAACGACCCAAGAAAAUAAGUCUAGUUUUUAGACCAAAAAUAUCAAAUUCAAGUGAUUUUGUGCAUAAAACAAGCAAAAAAAUCUGCAAAUGGGGUAAGCAAAAAAAUCUUGAACAUUUUCUUAAACACUAAAUUCAAGAAAAAUUCAAGAAAAAUUAGCUUACCCCUUUGGCAGAUUUUUUUGCAAAAAAAUUAACUUAAAUUUAAAAAUGUUUGUCUAAGAACUAGACUUAUUUUCUUGGGUUGUUUGAAAAAGACAAAAAUACUAAAAAGACAAAAAUACUACGAAUUUUUUUCUAGAAAAUCAUUUUUUGCAGUGUAGUUUUUACACAAAAAAAAUAUAUACAAUUUAAGUAAAUUUGUGCUUAAAGGGAUAGUUCACCCAAAAAUGAUUAUUCAGCAUUGUCUUUUCUUCCACGUCUGUUGUGAAGCGCAUACGCGAGACUAAAGUCACGUGACUGCAGUCAUGCGGAUGACGCACGACGUGGCUGACGUGUUAUCUGGUGCGCCCCAGCUGGUUUUUUUUGUGCACGGUAUCGCACAUGCGCUUCACAAUAGAAUCAAGACUUUUUUCUUACCCCAUUGGCAGAUUUUUUUGCUUGUUUUAUGCACCAAAUUAACUUAAAUGUAAAAAUGUUUGUCUAAGAACUAGACUUAGGCUACGUUCAUACUGCAGUCUGAAACGACCCAAUUCCGAUUUUUUUGCCCCUAUGCGACCUGUAUCUGAUCUUUUCAUGACAGUCUGAACGACACAGAUUCGAUCUUUUCAAAUGUGACCCAGGCCACUUGGGUAUGUGGUCCUGAAUCCGAUACGUAUCCGAUCUUUUGAAAUGCGACCUUCGUCUGAACGGCCAGGCCACAUGGAUCCGACCCGUACGUCACUGAUACGCUACAAACGUCAUAAUUCUGCAUUGAAGUAGGCAAGAACGAUAAGAUAAACAACAACCAUGGGCGACGUUGCUAACACUGCUCCACAUCAUUAAAUUUUGGCCGUAUGGGUGCACACGUUAUAUGAUUUCACAUAUAACAGCGUUCUCCAAAUAGAUUAAUAUAUAGCAUAUUAUUAUAAUGCUGCAAAUAAUAUGUGAAGUAGCAGCUUUCAAUUAUUUUUAAAAUGCGUUUAUAGAUCCAACAACCCCUGUGACCGGUCGACACGUCCAUAAGAGGUUUCUAUGUUUAUAAACCAUUGCCUCUUUGUUUCUACAUUUAAAAGACAAAGCUGGCAAUUCUGGCUAUACUUUCGUUCUUUUAAUAAUUUCUUUAUUUUAUUUAUAAAUCACUCUGGGUUAUCUGAUUUAUCUAUUUGGCUUGUGUUUUGUUUCCGUGCACUUGAGGCAUUUUGCACAUUUGUUCUGCACUUUGUUACUUCUAACCUUAUUUUAUAAAAAAAAAUUGUAUUUAUAAUAAACGUAAAUUCUGAUCUAAUUUAAGUCUGUAAAUUUUGGAUUGCUUUUCGUUGUAUCGAUGUUGCGCUAUUGCGUGCUGGCCAUGCUUGCGCAUGCAAUUUAGCCGAACGUGCUAGGUGCUCUUCGUCUCAUAUUUAGGAGUUCAUCAAACUAAACAUUAAAAAACGGAUGUUUUUCGACGGGUAUAAGUUUUUAAAAUGUAUUUAAAACAAACUGGUUAUUUUGUCAAAAGUUAAACUACAAAACAGGUAAGCCGUUUCUUUAAAUUUCGGUGCUGAAACGGAAAAUAUCUGCACCAAACCUAUAUUUAUGCCUGACACGACUGUCUUCGUGUGUUCACUUUCAAAUGAUAGCAAAGAGAUUCCUGAAAUAAAUAAUAUCAUCAGGUCUUUCUGUAUCUAAAGUGAAUACAGAGAUGAUCAAAGUCAAAGCAAGGAAGCAGGUAUUUCUAUGCUAAAUAAUAACGCGAAGUGUCUAUAAAAUCAUUAAUUUCAGUGUUUUUCUUGUUAUAAAUUAACGUUUAAUGAAUUGUAUAUAAAGCUUAGUUUUUCUCAUUUACAGUAACAAACACAAAUUAACAAACACAAAAAGAGCUCCAUUGUUGACUACACCGUUGUUGACAUCCAUGUUUAACGUUGGCUUAGAAGUGACGUCCUUGACCGUGGAGUACUCUUAUGCGCAUGCGGGUCACUUCUGGGUCAUUUCACGUUCACACAGGAGAUCGCAAAAGGUCGCAUUUUAUUGGAAAUGUGAACGGCCUUGCAAAAAAAUCUAAUUUUUUCAAAAAAUCGGAAUUGAGCAUUAAGCCCUGCAGUAUGAACGUAGCCUUAUUUUCUUGGGUCGUUUGAAAAAGACAAAAAUACUAAGAAUUUUUUUCUUGAAAAUAUUUUUUUGCAGUGUAGUGUUUAUUUAUUUAAGUAAAUUUGUGCUUAAAGGGAUAGUUCACCCAAAAAUGAAAAUAAUGUAAUUUAUUCAGCAUUGUCUUCUCUUCCACGUCUGUUGUGAAGCGCAUGCGCGAGACUAAAGUCACGUGACUGCAGUGACGCGGAUGACGCACGACGCAGCUGACGUGUUAUCUGGUGCGCCCCAGCUGUUUUAUUUGUGCCUGGUCUCGCACAUGCACUUCACAAUAGAAUCAAGACUUUUUUCUUACCCCAUUGGCAGAUUUUUUUUUGCUUGUUUUAGGCACAAUUUCACUUAAAAUUUAUAUUUAUUUUCCAAGGUCAUUUUACUUACCAAGAAAAUGCAUCUUGAUUUAAGACAAAAAAACUAAAUAAGAAAGAAAAAAAAUCUGCCAAUGGGGUAAGCAAAAAAAUCUUGAAAUUUUUUCUUAAACACUUAAUUAAAGAAAAAAUCUGUUUUGUGCACAAAAUCAUCACUUAAAUUUAAUAUUUUUGCUCUAAAAACUAGACUUAAUUUCUUGGGUCAUUUUGCUCAUCAAGAAAAAGCAUCUUAAUUUAAAUUUUUUAGAUAUUUUUACUGAAAACAAGACAAAAAUACUACGAUUUUUUUUCUUGAAAAUCAUUUUUUGCAGUGUGGGUGUGCCGUACUGAGGAUACGCGUGUCAUCGCAACAAGAAGUUAUGGUUCAGCUCUUUGCCACAGGGUUUUUAACACAAAUCAACAUUCACAACGAGAAAUGUUGGCAAACUGGACUGAAGCAGAGAUAAGGGAGGUCCAUGCUGAAGCUGAGAUCAUUCACCAGCAUAACACAACCUUAUGAUCUUAUCAUAAACUAAAAGAGAGAAAUCACGGAUAAUUAGCAAACUUCAGACACUUUGGAAAAACCUACCAAGUGCAGAACUUUAAAUACGUAACGAGUGUUUACUGGAUCUUUAGUAAGUACAUGCACAGAUUCUGAAAAAUCAUUGGCAGUGUGAAUGAACCAAAACUCAAACGAUCCUGAAUGCAUUUUCCGUAAUCUCUGUGUAAAAAAGGCUUUAGAGACGACCAAUGUUAAAUCCUGAGUGUGCUCUGAUCCACGAUGUGAAGGACCUGAAUGUAGCACUAAUACAGAGCAGCUCUUUCUGGACGUCUGAAGAACGUGUGAGG